rnacentral:lncRNA from 1 species
CCAAACGAAAAUUAGAAUAAACCCCCAAACCCUUUUGCCGCUCGAAGCCUCUGCCUGUGCUGAAACAGGUGCCGCGGCGCCAGCCUUGCGCCACCACCACCUGCCGCUCGCGCCACCACCGUCGGCCGUCGCACCACCGGGUCCAUCACCGUCGGCCGUCGCGCCACAUCCCCUGAAUUUGUAUCAGAGACACCGAGAGAGGUAGAUACUAGAUAGAAAUAUAAAAAUUGAAAUUCUGACUGAAUUUGUGAGAAUGUAAUGUAAUUUUUGUGUACUAUUUUUGAAUUUGUGAGAAUGAAAUAUAUCUGAUUUGUGAAUUGUUAUAGUGGACGGUGGGUUAUUUGAUUUUUUUGGUGCGCUGAAUCUGACGGAGCGACGGUGAGGUGAGGUAGAAGACGUCAAGAGGGGGAAGGGAUUAAUUAAAUAAAAAUUCAUUUGUGAUUAAUUAAACAAAAAUUCGCAUGGGAUGGGUUUUAUUUUAGUGGGUUGUGAUCAUAAUUUGUUUGAUUAUUUUAGUAGGUUUUAAUUUAUAUCUUUUGAUUCAGUGGAUUUAUUAAUUUCGAUUAAUGUAAUUUCCUAUCUUUGAUUAUUUUAUUAAUUUUGAUUAAUUUAAUUUUAUAGGAAAUGGAACGUUUUUUUUCUAAAAAACGUAGAGGUGAAUCUUCAAGUCGUUCAAUUACACCUUUUAUUGGAGCAAAUGUAGAAGUUGAAGAGAAUGUGGAAACAGAAACAAAUUUUAAUGAAUAUGUUCGUGAUCCGGGAUUAAGGAAACCAAUUGAUGAGUUUGAUAUUGCUAUUCGAGAUCAAGUACGUAGAGAAUAUUGGUCUAUGGGGCCUUGUCA